rnacentral:lncRNA from 1 species
CAGGCCAAUACCCUUGAUGAACAUCAAUGCAAAAAUCCUCAACAAAAUACGGGCAAACCAAAUCCAGCAGCACAUCAAAAAGUUAAUCCAUCAUGAUCAAGUAUGCUUCAUCCCCAGGAUGCAAGGUUGCCUCAACAUACACGUCAAUUAAUCUGAUUCAUCCCAUAAACAAAACUAAAGAUAAAAACCAUGUGAUUAUCUCAAUAUAUGCAGAAAAGGCUUUCAAUAAAAUUCAAGGCCUCUCCAUAUUAAAAACUCUAAAAAAUCUGGGUAUUGAGGAAACAUAGCUCAAAGUGAUGAGCUGUUUUUGUACCAGUAUCAUGCUGUUUUGGUUACUGUAGCCCUGUAGUAUAGUUUGAAGUUGGGUAACAUGAUGCCUCCAGCUUUGUUCUUUUUGCUGAGGAUUGCUUGGCUAUUAGGGCUCUUUUUUUUUUUGGUUCCAUAUGAAUUUUGAAAUAGUUUGCUCUAGUUCUGUGAGGAAUGCCAUUGGUAAUUUAAUAGGGAUAACUUGCAUCUGUAAAUUACUUUGGGCAGUAUAGCCAUUUUAAUGAUGUUAAUUCUUCCUAUCCAUGAGCAUGAAAUGUUUUUCCAUUUGUUUGUGUCUUCUCUGAUUUCUUUGAGCAGUGUUUUGUAAUUCUCCUAGAGAUCUCUUAGAGAUCUUUCACCUCCCUGGUUAGCUGUAUUCCUAGGUAUUUUAUUUUUUCUGUGUGUAGCAAUUAUGAAUGGGAUUAUGUUCUUCAUUUGACUCUCUGCUUUACUGCUAGGAAUUUUUGCACAUUGAUUUUGUAUGCUAAGACUUUGCUAAAGUUUAUCAGCAGAAGGAGCUUUGGGGCUAAGACUAUGGGGUUUUCUAGAUAUAGAAUCAUGUCAUCUGUAAACAGAGACAGUUUGACUUCCUGUCUAUUCCUCUCUUCCCUCCUCUAUUUGGAUGCCCUUCCAGUUUUGCACAUUCAGUGUAAUGUUGGCUGUGGGUUUGCCAUGGCUAGCUCUCAUCAUUUUGGCACUUCCGACUAGAAGUGCGAGAGGGGCCAGUGUUGUUGUUACCUGAAAGGUAAGUGCAGCCCACAAAAAUGCAGUGAAGAAGAAGAUAUAUGCAUAUGUUUAAGUUAAUACAAUUGAGAUACAUUUAGCAGACAGAAUCAAUAGAGUUGAUGAGUGACUGACUGGAUGUGUGGGGAGUUUAUAUCACUCCCAGGUUUUUGACUUGGGCAACCGGGCACUCAAGAAGGAAAAAGAGGAUCCAGGGAGAGGAACUUUUCUGAGGACUGGGGUAGGGCUGAACAGCUGCAUUCGAGACUGGUGGAGGGUGGGCUGGGCAUGGGAUGCACAAAUGGAAAUUCCACUGGGUCUGCAGCUCACACAUAGGCAUGACCAGCAUAGAGAUAGAGAGGCCCCAGUGCUGCUGAGUAACUGUGAUUCCCCAGGUGAUGGCAUCAGCUGAGAAGGGAAGGAAGCCCAUGUGAGGACACUGAAGAAGGAGUGAGCAGACAAUAAGAAGCCCACAGAAGACAGAGAAGGAACAACUAGAGGGAGAAGCCAAGGCAGGCAUGUGUGAUAACAUAUAGGAACUGAGGGAGAGGACAUUUCAAGAUGGAGGGGAUGCCAUACAACAGGACUAUGUGAUGGUUUUUGGCUGUGUCCAUAGGAAGUCACAACAGGCAAGGGAAAGAAACCAGAACCCAGUCAUGGAGUUAAGAAGUGAGUCAGAGAGGAGAUGGGUAGGGACAGUGAGGUAAGGCCUCUUUCUAAGGAAGUUUGGCUGAAGGAUAGACUAGCUGGACACAUGCUGGCUGUGUGGGGUAGAGGGAGGAAUGAUGGAGGGUAGGAGAGCCUUGAGCCUGCGAGAAGAGUCUCCUAGAAUAGAGAAGCUGAGGUUAAAGUUGUGGAAGACAGUGGGGAUAACUGAGUGACAGAUAAUCAGGAGAAGAAAAGGAGAUCCAGAAUCAUGACAGAGAGAUGACCUUUGCCAAGAGCACAGCCAUCUUUCACUGUCACAGAGAGGUAGGACAAAACGAUUGGUGUUCAAGAAUUGGUUUGUAGCACAAUAUUUUAACUAUGUCCUUUAAAAAGUUUCUCCACAGACACUACCCAAAGCAGUCCUUCACUACAGUGGCAGACAGACCUGAAAAUUUUCAUCUGAAGCAGCAGAGUGAACUGCAGAGUCAGAGAUAGAAUCUCACUAUGUUGACCAGGCUGGUCUUGAACUCUUGGCACCCAAGCGAUCCUUUUGCCUGGAAUCCCAAAGUGUCAGAUUUACUGAAGAAUAUUUCAUUGUAAUUACUUUUUAUACUUUAUAGGUCAAGAGCUCUGUUUUAAAGACAAAAUUUAUUGAAUAUACUUUUUCAAACAAA